rnacentral:rRNA from 1 species
GCAAGUCGAGCGAGAAGGUUAUGAUUGAUUCUUCGGAUGAAAGAUUAACUGGAAAGCGGCGGACGGGUGAGUAACGCGUGAGUAACCUGCCCCAUACACAGGGAUAGCCAUUGGAAACGAUGAUUAAUACCUGAUAACACAUAUUUAACACAUGUUAUAUAUGUCAAAGAUUUAUCGGUAUGGGAUGGACUCGCGUGGGAUUAGCUAGUGGGGGAGGUAAGGGCUCACCAAGGCGACGAUCAGUAGCCGGCCUGAGAGGGUGAUC